GAGGCUGUAGCUCAGUCGGUAGAGCAACGGACUUUUAAUCCGUAGGUCUGGGGUUCGAGUCCCCACAGCCUCA
rnacentral:tRNA from 1 species